rnacentral:rRNA from 1 species
AGGGCAGCCAAGUCGUGAGGCGGAGCUAAUCCCUUAAAGCCAUUCUCAGUUCGGAUUGUAGGCUGAAACUCGCCUACAUGAAGCUGGAAUCGCUAGUAAUCGCGAAUCAGAAUGUCGCGGUGAAUACGUUCCCGGGUCUUGUACACACCGCCCGUCACACCAUGGGAGUCGGAAAUGCCCGAAGUCAGUGACCCAACCGAGAGGAGGGAGCUGCCGAAGGUGGAGCCGGUAACUGGGGUGAAGUCGUAACAAGGUAGC